rnacentral:rRNA from 1 species
UACAGGGGGGGCAAGCGUUGUUCGGAAUUACUGGGCGUAAAGGGCUCGUAGGCGGCCAACUAAGUCACACGUGAAAUCCCCAGGCUUAACCUGGGAACUGCGUGUGAUACUGGAUGGCUUGAAUCCGGGAGAGGGAUGCGGAAUUCCAGGUGUAGCGGUGAAAUGCGUAGAUAUCUGGAGGAACACCGGUGGCGAAAGCGGCGCGCUGGACCUCUUCUGACGCUGAGGCGCGAAAGCCAGGGGAGCAAACGGG